CUCUUAAGGUAGCCAAAUGCCUUGUCGGGUAAGUUCCGACGUGCAUGAAUGGAUCAACGAGGACCUCACUGUCCCCGCCCGGAGCCCGGUGAACCCACAUUACUCAGACGAACAGUCUGGGGAUUCCCAGCGGGAAAAGAAGACCCCGUGGAGUUUUACUGCAGCUUGUUGCUGGAACGUGGUUGCUAAUGCAGAGCGUAGGCGGGAGCCGUUGAGAUCGACUUCUCCGGGAGUCGAUGGAGGCGACGAUGGAACACCGCCCUUCAGUGAUUAUGUUUCUUACCUUGGCAAAGGCCUUGGGACAACGGCAGGUGGGCAGUUCGGCUGGGGCGGCACCCCCUUGAAAAAGAAUCGAGGGGGCCCUAAGGUCGGCUCAGAUGGGACAGAAACCCAUCGUAGAGGGCAAAGCUAAAAGCCGGCCUGACUGGAUUCUCCACAGCAAGGAAUCCAGAAGCGAAAGCUGGGCUUAGCGAUCCUUCGAAUCCCCAUUGGUGGGGGUCGGAGGUGACAGAAAAAUUACCCCGGGGAUAACAGGCUCGUCGCGGGCGAGAGCUCCCAUCGACCCCGCGGUUUGGUACCUCGCUGUCGGCUCUUCCCAUCCUGGUGGUGCAGCAGCCGCCAAGGGUAGGCCUGUUCGGCCAUUAAAGGGGAACGUGAGCUGGGUUUAGACCGUCGUGAGACAGGUCGGAUUUUAUCUGCUGGGAAUGUUGGUCGCUUGAGGGGAAGGUCUAUUCUGGAUAAGAGCUGAAUGCAUCUAAGCUCGAAGCCACUCCCGAAAAUAAGCGGCCAUUCCACGACGUGGAGGCCUGGUAACGGGUCGCUAGCCGUGGACGAGGACUGGGAAAGAAGAUCCCGUUGAUGGAGUGGAGGUGUACUUCAGAAGACUUCGGUCGACUGAUUCAGCCUGCCACCCCCAAUCGUCCAAGGUGUUGGGCCG
rnacentral:ncRNA from 1 species